rnacentral:rRNA from 1 species
AGAGUUUGAUCCUGGCUCAGGAUGAACGCUAGCUACAGGCUUAACACAUGCAAGUCGAGGGGCAGCAUGUUGGUUGCUUGCAACCAACGAUGGCGACCGGCGCACGGGUGAGUAACGCGUAUCCAACCUACCCUUGUCCAUCGGAUAACCCGUCGAAAGGCGGCCUAACACGAUAUGCGGUUCACAGCAGGCAUCUAACGUGAACGAAAUGUAAAGGAGAAGGAUGGGGAGUGCGUCUGAUUAGCUUGUUGGCGGGGUAACGGCCACCAAGGCUACGAUCAGUAGGGUUCUGAGAGGAAGGUCCCCACAUUGGAACUGAGACACGGUACCAAACUCCUACGGGACGGCA